UAGCUUUUUCUUGUUUGUGAAGCUCUUUGAGCUUCAGUUCUAAAUGAGAGCUUUGCUGGGUGGAGUAAUCUCGGUUACAGGUUCUUAUUAUUCAUCACUUUGGAGAACAAUCUUUAAGUGUCAAAUCCUUGUCGACGGACAACGUUGCUCCAGGCUCUGCCUCCAUCAUCAGGUGGCCUCCGUCUCCCUGUCCCCUUCUCUCUCUCUCACGAGGACACUUGCCAUGGAUUUCAGGCCGGCCCUCCUCCAGGAUGACCUCAUCCCACGACCUGCAUCUUCAUAUCUGCGACGACCUCCCUCCCAAAUCAAGUCACAUUCUAGGUGUUGGAUCAGUUCAGCAUUCUCCAGGAAGCAGAGGCUGUGAAAACAGCUCAGGGUGUUGCUGUUUAAUCACCUCAUUUCAAGGUAUGUGGACGCCACAUUCCAACCUGCAGUGCAUAGAAACCAGGGUAAUGGCUGUGGCGGAGGAGGAAGUUUCUAAAGUUUAGCAAUUCAGAGGGUUUGCUUUUCAUGCUACUCGAAUUGCCUGGUAGCAUCAUUAACACCGCCUUUCCUGCUCACACCGCGCCUGCCUUGUGCUUCUACUCAUUUUAAGCUAAAGUUACCAGAAUGUCAUGUUGUUAUGGGUACCCAGUUACCUCAGUGAAAACUGAGGAAAGAGGUAGUAAGGAGACUUUAGAAUUAUUAAAAUAAUUUGGUCCCUGACAAUUUGUAUACCUUCUUGAUUUUUAAGUGAGUGUUAAUUAGUACAUUUGCAUAUCCAGAAAGUCGGGUGUCUAUAAUAGCUCUCAUAAGAUUGCUUGCAUAGUAAUUGGCCAUGCCUUUGUCUUUCUCUUCCCACUGAACACUAAGUUUUUAAGGUAGGAGACUGAAUAUCAUUGUAUUGUCAAUGUCUCCUAUGGUCUCUGGUACAAAGUAGAUACUUAAUGAGUGAAUGAAUUUGAGAUUGACUAAAGGAGGUGUGAUAAUAUGGACACAGCAUCCGGGUGAGCCUUAGGUAGGUUACUCACCUGUUUCCAAUGGUGUAAGUGAAGAAGAAGGCCACUUAGACACAGGGGUAGAGGGAUAGGAUGAUCCGAAGGUAAAAGAUCGGUCACAUGGCCUCUGUUCUCUCUAUGAAGUGACAGUGAGGUGUUUGGUAAAAGUGAGGCAGGAAAUAGUGAGAGAUGGAGCUGGAAGCAACAGGGAUUCAGGACAAAAAUCGAUGGAGAACAUUUUCUAACACAUUUUCUCUAACAGUAUCCCUGACUCAGGUUGCUUAUUUUGUUCACUUAUUUUGUACCAGUUUCAGGUGCGCACCACAGGGGUUAAGCUAUCAUAUGCUUUACAUAGUGAUCCCCCCAGAUGUUUUAAGUGCCCACCUGCCACCAUCCCUAGUUAUUGCAACAGUAUUGACUGUAAUUCCCUAUAUUGUACUUCACGUUCCUGUGACUGUCUUGUGACCACCAAUCUCUACUUCUCAAGCCCUUGACCUUUUCCACCAGCCCCCCAACCCUCUCCCUUCUGGCAACCAUUAGCUGAAUGUAAACUAUAAUCGAAAACUAAAAUUUAAAAUAUGGAAAGGUGUGUAUGUUGGCUGAGUGGUUAGAAAAAGUGGAUGUUGCAUUAAACAAGGAUUGGAGAUUUGCCCAGUGGGUCUGGGAGUUGAGGGCAAGUCACUGUGUUCAGUGUUUCAGUGAAGUAACAGUGAUUCAGGGCAUCAGAAGUCUCGACAACCAGGAAAGAAGGGUCGCAUGGAGAGAGUGGGUAGGCGGGGAGCUGCUCGACAACCUUCAUGCCUUGGGCAAAGGGAGCUGGGAGAUGGCAGUGCCUACACCUUUGAAGCAGAUAUUACAGGUGGGGGGUGGGCGGGGAGACCUGCUAUGCUUACAUAGAAACAUUUCCAGGCAGUCGGGGACAUGUGAUUGUGGUUAGAGGAGACCAGAACGAGACUGUGGAUAGAGUUCUGUUUCUAGCCAUUUGAUGAACAGAUUCAGGAAGAUCCCUCCUGCUGUCACACACCCGUGGACAUGACGGAGAGUCACACACCCACGGACAUGACGAAGAUGCAGACCAGCAGGGAUUUGCCAGGAGCCGGACACUUACAGAAAAGGGAAAUCCUGGAGGCAGGAGCACGGCGGCGGCGGAACCUGCCCUUGGACCUGCCCCCUCGCUGACGGGAGGGAGUAGCGGGCCCUCGCGCAGGGAAGGGAACCGAACUUGAGAUUUGGCUGGAAGAGGUGAGCAUUCCAGGUCCACGUCAUGUUGCCCGCAUGAAUACAGUCCCCGAAUGGAAAAGAGAAAAAGGACAUGUUAUAAAAUGUCAGGAAUUCUUAAGGUAAAAGGUAUCUGCAUUUACAUUUAGAAAUAGAAGCAAUGAUCUUAUUGCUCUCUCGCUAUCAGGCACUUCCUAUUUUUUUGGUGUCUAACGAGCUUUAUUUUAUGAAAUGGUGAUGUAAGGGAUAGUUUUUACUUAGACUCCCUUGACAAAGUACAUAAUGGAAGCGUUGUAUCAUAGGAUGUUUAUAAUUUUAUAGGUUCCCGAAACUGGAAAACCUGGGGACCAAAUAUCUAUACUUUUGAUCAUACACUUCUUAUAACUGACCCUAUGAAUUUAAAUAUUUGUCUUCCCCACGAGGUGCGGAACCGCUUGCGGAUGCAAAUGGCGAGCAGCUCACGCCAGGCCUUCGUGGGUGCUUCUCACCAGGAGGGCAAAGCCAGGCAUUUCCGAAGGGAUGGAGGUGGCCCCAUUUCUUCCUGCUGGCCCACCGGGUAGCAGGCAGGAGAGGGAGGAUCAAAUGCCCAUCGUGUGAUGCCCGCCGGCCUGCUGCUCACAGGGUCCAGCCGACCGGCUCAGGGCAGAGCCGCCCUUAUGGUUCAUCACCGCGGCCUUGUCUCCUCUUCAAGGAGACAUACUACCCACGAUGAGGAUGAGCCAUAGCCCCUCUUUAGGGGCCUGUGCGUUACUGAACUCGCCGGGAAGUAGGUACAUAUUACUCGUUCUCCUGUUGGAAGAGAUUCCAGCCGCAGCCAGGAAGCUGACAGGCCUGUUCCCACCCCAUUUCAUGUGCUGAGACGUCCCUUAACCAGUGGCCUUUCCAUCUGGAUUGCAAAUGGGCCCAGUUAAGAAGUGAAACGGUGGCUGGUGGUACAGAGAAGCCAGCUGUUUACACGCUUCUUCCAUGACUGCUCGCCCUGAGCAGAAAGUGCCUUUCAGGAUCGAUUUUUGGAGGUUUAUUACAAUGUCGUCGAGCUGGAGUCACAGUGUGUACCUUGUUCAGAUGGCUGUCUUCAUUAGAAUAUGCACGUAAGUUUUCCCCAUGUCUUGGCAUGGCUUGUUAGCUCAUUUCUUUUUAGCACUAAAUGUUAUUCCAUUGUCUGGAUCAGUGGUUCUCAAUCUUC